GAUGAACGCUGGCGGCGUGCCUAAUACAUGCAAGUCGAGCGAACAGAUAAGGAGCUUGCUCCUUUGACGUUAGCGGCGGACGGGUGAGUUACACGUGGAUAACCUACCUAUAAGACUGGGAUAACUUCGGGAAACCGGAGCUAAUACCGGAUAACAUAUUGAACCGCAUGGUUCAAUAGUGAAAGGCGGCUUUGCUGUCACUUAUAGAUGGAUCCGCGCCGUAUUAGCUAGUUGGUAAGGUAACGGCUUACCAAGGCAACGAUACGUAGCCGACCUGAGAGGAUGAGCAGCCACAGUGGAACUGAGACACGGUGCAGACUCCGACGGGAGGGAGAAGGGGGGAAUGGUGGACAAGGGGCGAAAGCCUGAAAAAGCCAUGCAGCGGGUGUGAAGAAGGUCUUCGUAUUGGAAAGCACUUUAAGUGGGGAGGAAGGGAAGGAAGUGAAUAACUUGCUGCGUUGACGGGACCAACAGAAUACGCACCGGCUAACGUAGUG
rnacentral:rRNA from 1 species